GUGCUCGCUUCGGCAGCACGUACACUAAAAUUGGAACGAUACAGAGAAGAUUAGCAUGGCCCCUGCACAAGGAUGACACACAAAUUCGUGAAGCGUUCCAUAUUUUU
rnacentral:snRNA from 1 species